rnacentral:lncRNA from 1 species
CCAAGGAAUGAGGUGUUUGUGUGGAAAUCCCAUUACACCAUCAAGAGGGAGACCGCACUGACAGGGGUCCAAGAUCCAUCUCAGGCCCUACUGUAGACUGCCCGCCAGCAGACGGAGGCCCACCGACGGACGUCGGCUCAAUGGCCAACAGUGGCCCGCCGGCCGGCUGACGGUGGCUCGCCGACCGACGCCGGCCCGUCGGCCGACCACGGCCCACCAGUUGAUGGUGGCCCGCCAGCUGACGGAGGUCCGCCGGCCAUUCGUAGCACGCCCGCCGACGGCAGCUCGAUGCACAUCCUGGCCUUAACUAUGGCUAUGUCACCCCCAAGAUUAGUUCGCCCCCCCCCCCCCCCCAAGUCCCUAGGUCACCAGUUGCGGGCGCUCCAUCUGACGGUGUCGUCCGACGGCUCCACGGUGACCAGCGCCGCCACUGCGGAAACCUUCGGACCCCGAAAAUGCUGCUAACCGUACACGAACAAAAGGCGCCAUGCACCCAGGACCAGCGCCCUGCUCCGAGGCGGUAUCCAAAGAAGGCCGCAUAGUGCACUUGCUGUGCUAAGGCAUAGUGCGCGCUGACUGAUAGGAACAAAUGACGGUCAGUUAUCAGAUCUCAGUAUGGAACUCAAGAUGGUCGGAGCCGACCUGGCCCGGUGGAUGGUGUGCCAGGGUUGAUUAAGUGUCGAAAGGAGUGAGACGCCCAGAUAUGUGAAGGAUACGUCGAUACGAGCCCCGGCUUCGACUCCCCGUCCCAAAACGAUGUUGGCUGUGAUUGGAGUUUGGUAUCUUUACGGAUUCCCCCCCCCCCACCCCACCCCGGAAUUUGUGCUAUGUAAUAGGACGAUAAUAUGUCGUGGUCUCAUUUUGGCUCGAUAUGGUAAUAGGUACUUAAUUGGAUAGAUGUUGAUGGUAUUGGUGGUGGAUGUAAAUGACAGGUUUGGCGAGCGCGAACUAGUAAUCGUGAGUGCACUAGCUGCAAUCAGUCGCGCGCUUAUUGCUGAGCACCUGUGAGCAAGAAAAUGGUAUGAAAGUGGUAGUUCCUCGUGAAAUCUGUGUACUUUUGGAUUAAGUUUUCAGAACAGAAGUGUAUUUUUGCCGUGUCCACUGCAGCUCUGGAACAGAAACAUAGAGAUCGGCUGUGUGCUGUAGCAGGGGCAAGUAGUCCGUGCCAAAAAAAAAAUCAAAGGUGAUAUGUGAAUUUAAGUGAAUAUACCUCGCUUUAUUUUC